GGGAAUAUUUUAAUAAGACAUCCAAACGCUGCUCAUUCAUUCUCCUAAUUCUCCUAUGUGUGUUCUCUUAUACCACUCAACAUUUCACCUCCUAGUUGUUGCUGAACUGCAACUUCCAUCACCCCUGAUCGCUGACCAGGAAAGGAGUCUGAACACAUCUGGAGAGUUAUAGGUUCGCCAUCCUUGAUCUACCUGGUCAGUCCCUUCUGAGCUGUUUUGAUUCCAUGGCCACCAAAGGGAUUAACCAGGUUAAGCUGAAUGUUCUCUAGCAAACACAUUUGACAUGAAAAAGGAACUGAGUGGGUGUGUUUGCCCAAACCCCUCAGGUCUCCCUUUCUUAGUCCUCUCACAUUACUUUUCAGUCAGGUAUUGUUAGUCUCAUUUCCACUCUUCCUCCAGUUUACAGUGACGCCAUGGAGCCAAUCAGAUGAUGUCACCAAGAGCAAGCACUGAGGGCAAAGAGGAGCCUUGCUCUCAUCCUGAAUUAGCUUCAGAGACAUCAUCAUGAAGCCAGUUCUGACUGAAUAAAUGAUGAUAUCACUACUAUUAGGAAGAAGGAGUGAAGCUGGAGGCAAUUGUGCUCAACACUCAAGUCUGGUAGUCCUUCAUCUUAGCAUUGGACAUUAGCAUUACAUUCUACCAUAUCCUUUUGAAGAGGUGAGCCAUUGCUGUAACUUCCUUGCCCACCUGUACAAUAAAUGCUAACUUUCACAAAAUGUCUGACAUGUACCCUAAUAUAUACUCAGAUACGACUCUCCACGUUCCACACUAAGUAUAUGAACAGUGUCUUUGAUGCAGCUCACUUUUUCUGUUAAAAAGUAAUAAACAGGCAGGGU